rnacentral:piRNA from 1 species
UCGUAUGUUUCUGGCCCUUGCCCAAGUGU